UACGUAGGGUGCAAGCGUUGUCCGGAAUUAUUGGGCGUAAAGAGCUUGUAGGCGGUUUGUCGCGUCUGCUGUGAAAUUUCGGGGCUCAACCCCGAACUUGCAGUGGGUACGGGCAGACUAGAGUGUAGUAGGGGAGACUGGAAUUCCUGGUGUAGCGGUGAAAUGCGCAGAUAUCAGGAGGAACACCGAUGGCGAAGGCAGGUCUCUGGGCAACAACUGACGCUGAGGAGCGAAAGCGUGGGGAGCGAACAGG
rnacentral:rRNA from 1 species